rnacentral:rRNA from 1 species
AGCUUGCUUUUAACACUUAGUGGCGGACGGGUGAGUAAUGUAUGAGCAACCUGCCUUUCAGAGGGGGACAACAUUUCGAAAGGAAUGCUAAUACCGCAUGAAAUUGUAUUAUCGCAUGAUAGAACAAUCAAAGAAUUAUCGCUGAAAGAUGGGCUCGCGUCUGAUUAGAUAGUUGGUGGGGUAACGGCCUACCAAGUCGACGAUCAGUAGCCGGACUGAGAGGUUGAACGGCCACAUUGGGACUGAGAUACGGCCCAGACUCC